rnacentral:rRNA from 1 species
UACGGAGGGUGCAAACGUUGCUCGGAAUCAUUGGGCGUAAAGCGCACGUAGGCGGUCUCGUAAGUCGGUUGUGAAAUCCCUCGGCUUAACCAAGGAAGUGCAUUCGAAACUGCGAGACUUGAGUACAGGAGAGGGUCGCGGAAUUCUCGGUGUAGAGGUGAAAUUCGUAGAUAUCGGGAGGAACACCAGUGGCGAAGGCGGCGACCUGGACUGAUACUGACGCUGAGGUGCGAAAGCGUGGGGAGCGAACAGG